rnacentral:tRNA from 1 species
GGGGGUAUAGCUCAGCUGGCUAGAGCAUCGGCUUUGCAAGCCGAGGGUCUGGGGUUCGAAUCCCCAUACCUCCA